rnacentral:lncRNA from 1 species
ACCAGUCUCCACUGUAGCAGACCCCGUACCCGUCUCCACUGUAGCAGACCCCGUACCAGUCUCCACUGUAGCAGACCCCGUACCAGUCUCCACUGUAGCAGAUCCCGUACCCGUCUCCACUGUAGCAGACCCUGUACCCCUCCCGGCUCCACUAUAGAGGAGGGGGUGUGCUCAGUGUGACAUGGCUGAGGAGCUGAGCCGCCAUGGAGGACAUCCUCAACACCUACUGCCUGGAGGACAACGGGGAGGACGGGGUUAACCUGCCCAACGGCCAAUCAUACUGCCCCGUGCUCAACGGCCUGGCCAAUGAGAAGGAGUUGGAUGCCAAGCUGGAGGAGGUCAAAGUGAACACCGGCGGAGUGGAGAAAGUGAAGAUUCAAGAGAAGAAGAAGCUGGAAGAGCGGCGGAACAAUCAGAAGCUAAUGCGGGUCCUGCAGAAAAAACAGUCUCAGCGGGGUGCAGGAGACGGACCACCUGAGGAACGAACACAGCAAACCAUCCUGGCACGCAGCAAACUGGAGUCACUCUGUCGGGAGCUGCAGAGACACAACCGCACACUCAAGGUAAAGAUGGUGAAGCAGGUACUUCCUCUCUAAAGGAUGGUGAAGCAGGUACUUCUCUCUAAAGGAUGGUGAAGCAGGUACUUCCCCUAAAGGAUGGUGAAGCAGGUACUUCCUCUCUAAAGAUGUUGAAGCAGGUACUUCCUCUCUAAAGGAUGUUGAAGCAGGUACUUCCUCGCUAAAGGAUGUUGAAGCAGGUACGUCCCUCUCUAAAGGAUGUUGAAGCAGGUACUUCCUCCUAGGUAAAGGAGUGGUGAAGCAGGUACUCCUCUCUAAAGGAUGGUGAAGCAGGUACUUCCUCUCUCGGUAAAGCGGUUUGCUCAACUUGUACAGUGCCUUGCGAAAGUAUUCGCCCCCUUGAACUUGCGACCUUUUGCCACAUUUCA